AUGUUCACAUCGUCUUAUAUUGUACAGAAUAAGAAUAAUUGUUGUUAAAGAUAAGUAAAUGAAUUUGUCAUUAAAAUACUUUUAUGAAAUAAUUUUUGAGAACCAUUAGAACCUAUGAUUUUAUUUUGCAACACAAGCAAAGACUGUCAAUAAGCAAAAUUAUUUUGCAUUAUUAUGACAAAAUCACUUAAAUUAAAAUGUUAUAAUACGAGUAUAACCAAAUGGAAGACAUCGAGAUAUUGUGAUUAUUGAGCGUUGAUUUAAGUUCAUGGAAAAAUUAACAUUGAUGCGCCAUCACUUUGUGAACAAAUUUUAUUGAGAUUGGCAACUAGUCAUGAGGUGGAUUGGAUAUAGACUUCGUAUAUUUUCAAAUGUGAUUCAAAAUUCAUACUACUCUUUGGUACAUUUUUCAAGUAUAUCUAAAAAC